rnacentral:misc_RNA from 1 species
AAGUCGUAACAAGGUUUCCGUAGGUGAACCUGCGGAAGGAUCAUUGACAUGAACCCGGCAGCCCAGCUGUCCGGUCGGGGGCCCCUCAGGGGGCCCUGUCUGCACCCUAUGUCGUUGUAGUACCUCGCGUUUCCUCGGCGGGCUCGCCCGCCAACGGGGACCUCAACCAAAACCCUUUGAAGUACCUGCAGUAAACGUCUCACAAACAAUUAAAUCAAAACUUUCAACAACGGAUCUCUUGGUUCUG